rnacentral:rRNA from 1 species
ACAUGCCGCCAGAGAAUUACGAGAUAACUCUUAAAACUCAAAGGACUUGACGGUGCCCCACCCACCUAGAGGAGCCUGUUCUUUAAUCGACAUCACACGAUACACCUUACCGCUGCUAGCUAUUCAGUCUGUAUACCUCCGUCGCAAGCUUACCAUGUGAACGAUACAUAGUCAGCUAAAAGGUUCAUCACCAACACGUCAGGUCAAGGUGCAGCUUACGUAGCGGAAAGUAAUGGGCUACAAUCUCUCCAACAGAGCAUACGAAAUACUAUGUGCAACACUUGUCAAGAAGGCGGAUUUAGCAGUAAAAAGAAAUCAGAGAGUUCUUUUUAAUUAGGCCCUGGGGCGUGU